AGUGAACGCUGGCGGUAGGCCUAACACAUGCAAGUCGAACGGCAGCACAGUAAGAGCUUGCUCUUACGGGUGGCGAGUGGCGGACGGGUGAGGAAUACAUCGGAAUCUACUUUUUCGUGGGGGAUAACGUAGGGAAACGUACGCUAAUACCGCAUACGACCUACGGGUGAAAGCAGGGGAUCUUCGGACCUUGCGCGAUUGAAUGAGCCGAUGUCGGAGUAGCUAGUUGGCGGGGUAAAGGCCCACCAAGGCGACGAUCCGUAGCUGGUCUGAGAGGAUGAUCAGCCACACUGGAACUGAGACACGGUCCAGACUCCUACGGGAGGCAGCAGUGGGGAAUAUUGGACAAUGGGCGAAAGCCUGAUCCAGCCAUACCGCGUGGGUGAAGAAGGCCUUCGGGUUGUAAAGCCCUUUUGUUGGGAAAGAAAAGCAGCAGGUUAAUACCCCGCUGUUCUGACGGUACCCAAAGAAUAAGCACCGGCUAACUUCGUG
rnacentral:rRNA from 1 species